GGGUCAGUAGGUUGGUCGUGCCACCGGUACGUACUGGUCUCACUGAUUCCUCCUUCCUGAAGAACCGUAAUGCCAUUAAUUUGGUGUUGUGGGGAAACAGGACUGUUACUUUGAAAAAAUUAGAGUGUUUAAAGCAAGCUAACGCUCGAAUACAUUAGCAUGGAAUAAUGAAAUAGGACGAUCGAUCCUAUUUUGUUGGUUUCUAGGAUUGACGUA
rnacentral:rRNA from 1 species